GCCGCGCCUAAAGUGUCCUUAAAGAUAUAAAAGCAGGGAGAAAAAAAAAAGGGAAAUAUGUAGUGUAGAAUGUCACUGUCCAAAUAAAUGGAAUAAAACAAAAGAAAUACACUCACUACGGAUACGGUAGUUUGAGCAGAAUAGCAGCAAAGGUUGGUCCAAUAAAAAAAAGUACUUUUAUAUAAAGGUAAUUAAUAUAAAAAUAUACUCAAAGUGAGGUAGAUAAUAAUAAAAAAUACACUUAACGCGUUUCACCUGGCAUUUAAAGCCUUUACCGUAUCCGUGGUGGGGAUUGUACCACCCAAGCCGGAGGGAUAGAGCAGUCCACAUCUGCUCCAUCAAAUGUAAGUAAAUUUCUCACCACUUUAAUUGUAUUCUGUGCCUUAUGGUACACACUAUUUUGUUUUUUCUAUUUCCGUUUUCUCCUAUAUUUCUGGAGGGAAAAGAUCAUCAUCUAUACUUACAAGUGGACACUACACUUUAAUAUCCUAAGCCCAUAUCCGUAGAGCUGCUUAUGUUUCCACCAUUUGAGUGACUGCAACCACCAAGAACCACACUAUAUCCAUAGACGGGGAUUAUUCUGCCCAGGCGUCCAAUUUUAGCUCCAGGAAAUUGUGAGUGUAUUUCUUUUGUUUUAUUCUAUUAAUUUGGACAGUGACAUACUACACUAUAUAUUUUCCCUUUUUUUUCUUUUUCUCCCUGCUUUUGUAUAUAUUUUUUUAAGGAGACUUUAGGCACUGCACCACUCCUUCUAAUUUCAUCUGUUUGGAGACAGGAUGAGAGACUCCGGCUCCGGUGAUUUAGCUGCCGUUUGGACUGUUCCAGUUAUUGCUUAGCUCAACACCCUUUAGCUUUUAACAUAAGAGUAUGGCAGAACCUUAUAAAUCUCUUAAGGAAGUUGGUGUGUCAAGGGAAACUAAGGGCUAACAUCAUAAAAUAUUUUUCUACAGAAAGAGUUACAGAUACAUUCAACAGCUUUUAGAGGAAGUUUAUAGAUUGCAACUUUCAAUCAUUUCUGAAAGGUUGGGAUUAGUGAUGUACCGAACGGUUCGCUGGCACGGCGGGCGAACAUAUGCGCGGUUCGACCCGCCCCCUAUUCGUCAUCAUUGAGUAAACUUUGACCCUGUACCUCACAGUCAGCAGACACAUUCCAGCCAAUUAGCAGCACACCCUCCCUAGCAGACCCUCCCACCUCCUGGAAGGCAUCCAUUUUAGAUUCAUUCUCAAACUGCAUGCUUAGUAAGAGGAGGGAAAGUGUAGCUGCUGUUCAUAAGAUAGGGAAAAGCAUAGCUAGGUUAGGGAUAAG